rnacentral:rRNA from 1 species
CCGACCCAUGAUUUUUUCUGGUGAAAAGGGUUUGGAGUACGAGCAAUACCUGUUGGGGACCCAGAAAAGGAUGGGUGAACUAUGCCUGAGCAGGGGCGAAACCCAGAGGAAACUCUGGGUGGAGGGCUCGUAGAUGUGCUGACGUGCAAAUUCGCUUUUUCGGACUUGGGUAUAGGGGGCGAAAGACUAAUCGAACCAUACUAGUAGCUGGUUUCCCUCCGAAGUUUCCCCCCAGGAUAGCUGGAGCUCGGUCAGUUUUAUCGGGUAAAGCGAAUGAUUAGAGGUACCGGGGAUGAAACAUCCUCGACCUAUUCUCAAACUUUAAAUAGGUAAGACGUCUGGGUUGCUUAACUGAACCCAGGCACUCAAUGAGAGCUCCAAGUGGGCCAUUUUUGGUAAGCAGAACUGGCGAUGCGGGAUGAUCCGAAAGCCGAGUUAAGGUGCCAAACUGCGCGCUAACCUAGAUCCCACAAAGGGUGUUGGUUGAUAUAGACAGCAGGACGGUGGUCAUGGAAGUCGAAAUCCGCUAAGGAGUGUGUAACAACUCACCUGCCGAAUCAACUAGCCCCGAAAAUGGAUGGCGCUGAAGCGCGCGACCUAUACUCGCUCCAUGUUCACAAGUGCGAAGCUCCCAUGAGUAGGAGGGCGUGGGUGUCGUGGCGCAGCUGCGGACUGAAGCCCGGG